rnacentral:rRNA from 1 species
CGGGGGCAUCAGUAUUCAAUUGUCAGAGGUGAAAUUCUUGGAUUUAUUGAAGACUAACUACUGCGAAAGCAUUUGCCAAGGAUGUUUUCAUUAAUCAGGAACGAAAGUUAGGGGAUCGAAGACGAUCAGAUACCGUCGUAGUCUUAACCAUAAACUAUGCCGACUAGGGAUCGGACGGUGUUAUUUUUUGACCCGUUCGGCACCUUACGAGAAAUCAAAGUGCUUGGGCUCCAGGGGGAGUAUGGUCGCAAGGCUGAAACUUAAAGAAAUUGACGGAAGGGCACCACCAGGGGUGGAGCCUGCGGCUUAAUUUGACUCAACAC